UACUGGCGGGCGUGCUUACCAUGCAAGUCGAACGAUGAUGCCCAGCUUGCUGGGCGGAUUAGUGGCGAACGGGUGAGUAACACGUGAGUAACCUGCCCUUGACUUCGGGAUAACUCCGGGAAACCGGGGCUAAUACCGGAUAUGAGCCGUCCUCGCAUGGGGGUGGUUGGAAAGUUUUUCGGUCAGGGAUGGGCUCGCGGCCUAUCAGCUUGUUGGUGGGGUGAUGGCCUACCAAGGCGACGACGGGUAGCCGGCCUGAGAGGGCGACCGGCCACACUGGGACUGAGACACGGCCCAGACUCCUACGGGAGGCAGCAGUGGGGAAUAUUGCACAAUGGGCGAAAGCCUGAUGCAGCGACGCCGCGUGAGGGAUGAAGGCCUUCGGGUUGUAAACCUCUUUCAGCAGGGAAGAAGCGCAAGUGACGGUACCUGCAGAAGAAGCGCCGGCUAACUACGUGCCAGCAGCCGCGGUAAUACGUAGGGCGCAAGCGUUGUCCGGAAUUAUUGGGCGUAAAGAGCUCGUAGGCGGUUUGUCGCGUCUGGUGUGAAAACUCGAGGCUCAACCUCGAGCUUGCAUCGGGUACGGGCAGACUAGAGUGCGGUAGG
rnacentral:rRNA from 1 species